rnacentral:rRNA from 1 species
GUGAGCGCUGGCGGUAGGCCUAACACAUGCAAGUCGAACGGCAGCACAGUAAGAGCUUGCUCUUACGGGUGGCGAGUGGCGGACGGGUGAGGAAUACAUCGGAAUCUACUUUUUCGUGGGGGAUAACGUAGGGAAACUUACGCUAAUACCGCAUACGACCUACGGGUGAAAGCAGGGGAUCUUCGGACCUUGCGCGAUUGAAUGAGCCGAUGUCGGAUUAGCUAGUUGGCGGGGUAAAGGCCCACCAAGGCGACGAUCCGUAGCUGGUCUGAGAGGAUGAUCAGCCACACUGGAACUGAGACACGGUCCAGACUCCUACGGGAGGCAGCAGUGGGGAAUAUUGGACAAUGGGCGCAAGCCUGAUCCGGCCAUACCGCGUGGGUGAAGAAGGCCUUCGGGUUGUAAAGCCCUUUUGUUGGGAAAGAAAAGCAGCAGGUUAAUACCCCGCUGUUCUGACGGUACCCAAAGAAUAAGCACCGGCUAACUUCGUG